UACAAAUAGUCUGAUCAUUGAUCUGACAUCGAUGAUGUGGCUCUUAUCCUUGAUAGCCCAUCUAUUUCAAAAACCACUUUGGUCGGAUGAUCCUAACUUACAAUCAAUAACUAAAAAAUUGAACUUUCCAUCAUAUGCGAAACUGAUUUUGCCCUGGAUUGAACCCACAGUGCAUGCUAAACUGAUUUUUCCCUGGAUUGAACCUUUCAAUCCAGACUAUCCACGUAAUCCUCUGCUACUGUGCUACAUCUGAGUACUUUAGGUUGCAAUUGCUAAGCUUGGUUAAAUGCCUGAAUGAUUCCAUGGGUACUGGCUAUUGAUAUGAUAUCGUGUAUUUUUGUUUUUGUUUUUAUUAUAAUUUAUUUCCUUUUUACACUAAUAAUAAUAAUAAUAAUAAUAAUAGUAGUAACAACAACAAUAACCCAAAUCUUCAUGCCUCUACUAAUUCUGUUUGUUAAACAGGAAUUUGGCAGGUCUAUCUUGCAACUCUGCUAAUAGCCAAAGUGGAGGGUGUCAUGCUUGAAGCUUCUUUUAUGUCUGAACUGGCUUCUCGUUAUUUGGGAUCAAUCGGGUUACUUGGAGAGUACUGUCCAACUUCGAGAAAAAAGUAUAGGCCCUCUUUAAAAAGAGCACUUUUCCACCAUAUUAACCCAGGCAUGACAAAAACCAAAUUGCAGCAACACAAGACAUAAAAAAGCUCCAAUCGAGCCGAUCGUAAGCUUGUUCCAUGUCUAAUUUCAACGGGAUGUUACCCCCACAGACUUUCCUAUUAAGGACGUUGAUUGACAGAUUAGGAAAUUCGAUCUGUAAGAUUUUCGGAGCAUCUUCCAUCUAUGGCAGUGCCUAUCAAAUCCAAGUUUGGAUUUUAGAAGUAUCAUCCCCACUUGUAACAAGCAUCAUCAAGAUACUUGGACCGAAUGCCCUAGGAACUUAUACUCCCUGUUCUAUCCAUGAAUAGUUUCUAAAGUUAGACAUUUUUCUCACAGCAGAGAGUGCGAUGAUCUGCACAUGCAAAGUAACCAGAGAAAAUGAAGAACGGUGGAAUGGUGAUGAAAUGUUUGGAUGAUAUCUUGUAAUUGUAACAGGAGGGCAUGGAUAUUUUGUUUCAGAUAUUUUGAUAUGUAACCAUGUGCUAAUAUUUGUUAUAUGUUCUGUACUUUAAUUCAUAGAAACUGUUCAAUUAAGGUUUGAUUUAUUUCACUAUAGGCAUUGUCUGCCUGUAAUAUGUUAGUUAAAAACUGAAAUAGGAAGCAAUUUCUUUACAGUA